UCUCACACAGAAAUCGCACCCUCU
rnacentral:ncRNA from 2 species